ACCCAAAGGAAGAGAAGCAGAUAUCUGAGAGCUGGUUAGGAAUAGAUCAGAUAGGAACUGGUAACGAAUCUGACUAGGAGUGGGAUGAGGGAAGUGAACGGAUGAGGGCGAUAAAGGGAAAAAGUAUGAAUGUUAAAGUUUCUACCUUGGGAUGCUGACCUCAUUUACUGAGAUAGGAAAAGGGAGAAAAUGAUUAGAGACGGGGAUGAAGCAGGGGAAGCUGACUAGCUGGAUGUUGGAUCUGUUCAUUUUAAGGUGCCUGAAAUAGACCCAAGUGGAUAUAAAUGUCUGAACUCAGUUCUGGACUAGAGAUACAGAUUUGGAAUGCACCAACAUGCAGAUGGUAAUCCCGCAUAUGAGUAGAUAAGAUCACCCAGGGAGAUGGCCUGUAAUGACAGCCUAUAACAUGUCAGAUCUCCAGUCUCUCAAGAUCUCCAACCUGACCAGUGAUAACCUCAUUCAUGGAUAAAAUGGACUCUACCCAGUUUGAACUUCACACAUGGUUUGUGUGCGUGUAGGGCCCUUUUAUGUCUCUCAGAUCCUGCUGACCCUCUAUUCUCACUGUGCCAGACCAUGACCCUCCAGCUCACUUCUUUCCUCUAUUGGCAGGGAAGACACUUAUGGGAUAGAACAAGUUCUCCCAGGACAAAUAUACAUAGUAUGAUUGUGGCUACCAGGAGAUUUUUUUUCCCCGAUUUUAUUGCAUCUCUACCCUUGUAAAAAACACAUUCAUUUGAUCAUUUGACCACCCCUAACUACCACCUUAUUUAUUAUCUUCUACUUAUUGCCAAAACUCCCCUAGCCUCCGUCCUUGCCAUCCCUCUCUCUCAAUGCACACAUAUACAGAUUUCCCAGCUCUUUCAUUUUCAUCAAUGGCACCAUCACUGUUCCAAUUUCUUAUACCACAAGUCAUAUCUCCUUCCUUCAUGCUUAUAUAUAACUAGUUGCUCAUUAUUAAAUUAAUUUUUUUUCUCCUUCAGUCUAUUCCUCUCUCUAGCCAGUAUAUAAUUUUUCAGCUUAUUCCUGACUUGCUGUAACAGCUUUCUAGUUGAACUCUGUGGUUCUAAUUUCUACCCACUUACCUUGUAGCUUACAUUCAGACUUCUUUCCUAAAACUGUGUGUUUGUUACACACUGCAGUGGCUACCUUUUUUUCUAGCCAUAUCAAAUCCAAAAUGUACUGCUUAGUUUUAUAAUCCUGACUCAAAAAGCUUCUAUUUGUUCAUUCUCUUUUGUUUCAUUCCUAAUCAGUGUGAACCUUCUAACUCUGGUCAAGCUAGCCAUCAUCACUGUUCCAAGAAAAUGCUUACCUCGUGGUGCUCCUGGACUAUCUUUAUCCUUUCUCCUUUCUAAAUCCCACCCACAUUUUAAGACCAAGUUUAAGUCUCAUUCCUCCAUUAACAGUGGAGGUGUACAACUUCUGUUCUGACCAGUCUUCUCUGCUGAACACUGACAGUUCAUGCACUAAAUAAUUCAGGACUAAAUACUUUCUUGUAGUGAUCACUAUUACUUCAUGAGACUAUGACCAUUCCUUAAUGGCAAGAAUCACAUUUUAUCCUUCUAUCACUCUCUUUCUGCCUCACAAAGGGCAAAAGCCCUAGUAUAAUAAUUACCCAUUAUCCAUCUGCCUAAAAUGUAACAUAAUUUCACUGCAUUAUUUUACCAACACCAAACUUGAAUCUAACCAAACACAUGCAUCUAUAGCAGUCUUCUUAUAUUGACUGAAGGCCCAAUGCAGGUAAUUUCUCUACCUAAACCAAAUGCUACAGUUGUGUUUUCUCUAGUGGUUGUCUGCACUGCAGCCAUUUUGUUCCUAUUACUGCCUAUUUUUAAAAUAAGAAUUCAGUAUAUAUCUGAGAUCAUUUUUUUCUUUAUUCAUCCAAGUGGGAGAAGUAAGCAUGAACAGGGAACUCUUCCCUCAUAUAUUCCACUGGCAUACCUAUAGAACUCCUCUACAACGGCAGUUUCCUAAUUAAAGAAAGAAUCAAAGAAUCAAAUAAUGACUCAAGGGGCAACUUCCUCUUGAAGAAAUAUCUUCCUUCAAGGUAAUUUCAGGGCAAUUUUCUGAAAAGAUGUUCAAGAAUGAAUGAGGAAAAUCUCAGUUUCUAAUUUAUCUACCACAUGAUUAUUACUUUUUCUCUUUUUGAUGAAUUACUUUCAUCUCUGUGCAUUGUUUUAUUGUUUUGAUUUUCUCUACAUAGUAGUUUGACUAUGUGAUGAGGGCUGGACACAGUAUACCUUUUUAGAAGACAGUACUUAAACGGGAAUAUUUAUGGUACUCAUAGUCUCCUAAGUCCCCUGGCUAAGAAAAUUCUACUUUAAGUAUCACUCAUUUACCAGCAAGGAAAGAAAAAAAAUCCCUGGAAAAUUCUUGGUUUCCUCUACUCAAACCACAGGGAUGUAGGAAGAAAGAAAAAUCUUUGAAACUGCUUUAACUUUUUAAAAAAAAAAACUUGAGGAAGUCUGCUUUGUGGUGUGUGUGUAAAAACAAGAUUCUGCAGUCGAUGACUUUUUCCCAGGACGUUUUCUUUCUUUCUUUUUUUUUUUGGAGAAGAUGACGUUUCUCCAGAUGUUGGCAGGGUAAUUAUUUUUAAAUAAACAAAGGAAAAAAUA